UGGGGAAUAUUGGACAAUGGGCGCAAGCCUGAUCCAGCCAUGCCGCGUGAGUGAUGAAGGCCUUAGGGUUGUAAAGCUCUUUCACCGAUGAAGAUAAUGACGGUAGUCGGAGAAGAAGCCCCGGCUAACUUCGUGCCAGCAGCCGCGGUAAUACGAAGGGGGCUAGCGUUGUUCGGAAUUACUGGGCGUAAAGCGCACGUAGGCGGAUAUUUAAGUCAGGGUGAAAUCCCAGAGCUCAACUCUGGAACUGCCUUUGAUACUGGGUAUCUUGAGUAUGGAAGAGGUAAGUGGAAUUGCGAGUGUAGAGGUGAAAUUCGUAGAUAUUCGCAGGAACACCAGUGGCGAAGGCGGCUUACUGGUCCAUUACUGACGCUGAGGUGCGAAAGCGUGGGGAGCAAACAGGAUUAGAUACCC
rnacentral:rRNA from 1 species